AAACCUUCAAGCCCUGCUUGGUGUUGGGUGCCUGUCCCGCCUCCGCGCGUGGACUCACCUCAAAUCCAUUGGCGGCCCCCGCGUCGGCCACGAGCGCAGCAGAAACGCGAACUCGUGAGCCCGUCCGGGCGGCUCCCAGAAGCUAACCCCCAAU
rnacentral:misc_RNA from 1 species